UACGUAGGGUGCAAGCGUUGUCCGGAAUUAUUGGGCGUAAAGAGCUCGUAGGCGGCUUGUCACGUCGACUGUGAAAACCCGAGGCUCAACCUCGGGCCUGCAGUGGGUACGGGCAGACUAGAGUGCGGUAGGGGAGAUUGGAAUUCCUGGUGUAGCGGUGGAAUGCGCAGAUAUCAGGAGGAACACCAAUGGCGAAGGCAGAUCUCUGGGCCGUAACUGACGCUGAGGAGCGAAAGCAUGGGGAGCGAACAGG
rnacentral:rRNA from 1 species